rnacentral:rRNA from 1 species
UACGGAGGGUGCGAGCGUUGUCCGGAAUCAUUGGGCGUAAAGGGCGCGUAGGUGGCGGGACAAGCGUGCGGUGAAAGCCUGGGGCUCAACCCCGGGUCGGCCGUGCGAACUGUUUUGCUUGAGCACUGUAGAGGCAGGCGGAAUUCCGGGUGUAGCGGUGGAAUGCGUAGAGAUCCGGAAGAACACCGGUGGCGAAGGCGGCCUGCUGGGCAGUAGCUGACACUGAGGAGCGAAAGCGUGGGGAGCAAACAGG